rnacentral:rRNA from 1 species
GAUGAACGCUGGCGGCGUGCCUAAUACAUGCAAGUCGAGCGAACGGGCGAGAAGCUUGCUUCUCUGAUGUUAGCGGCGGACGGGUGAGUAACACGUGGAUAACCUACCUAUAAGACUGGGAUAACUUCGGGAAACCGUAGCUAAUACCGGAUAAUAUUUUGGACCGCAUGGUUCAAAAGUGAAAGACGGUCUUGCUGUCACUUAUAGAUGGAUCCGCGCUGCAUUAGAUAGUUGGUAAGGUAACGGCUUACCAAGGCAACGAUGCAUAGCCGACCUGAGAGGGUGAUCGGCCACACUGGAACUGAGACACGGUCCAGACUCCUACGGGAGGCAGCAGUAGGGAAUCUUCCGCAAUGGGCGAAAGCCUGACGGAGCAACGCCGCGUGAGUGAUGAAGGUCUUCGGAUCGUAAAACUCUGUUAUUAGGGAAGAACAUAUGUGUAAGUAACUGUGCACAUCUUGACGGUACCUAAUCAGAAAGCCACGGCUAACUACGUG